AUUGAACGCUGGCGGCAGGCCUAACACAUGCAAGUCGAGCGAGCGGCGGACGGGUGAGGAAUGUAUGGGGACUGCCCGAUAGAGGGGGAUAACUACUGGAAACGGUUGCUAAUACCGCAUACUAUCGGAUAACCCAUAUGGGAUUAGCUAGUAGGGGGGGGAAAGGCUCACCUAGGCGACAAGCUCUCGCUGGUGUGAGAGGAUGAUCAGGCACACGGGGACGGAGACACGGCCCAGACGCCUACGGAGGCAGCAGUGGGGAAUAUUGGACAAUGGGCGCAAGCCUGAUGCAGCCAUGCCGCGUGUAUGAAGAAGGCCGUAGGGUUGUAAAGUACUUUCAGCGGGGAGGCGUUACCCGCAGAAGAAGCACCGGCUAACUCCGUGCCAGCAGCCGCGGUAAUUC
rnacentral:rRNA from 1 species